rnacentral:rRNA from 1 species
CGGCACGGGUGAGUAACACGUGUCCAACCUGCCGUCUACUCUUGGCCAGCCUUCUGAAAGGAAGAUUAAUCCAGGAUGGCAUCAUGAGUUCACAUGUCCGCAUGAUUAAAGGUAUUUUCCGGUAGACGAUGGGGAUGCGUUCCAUUAGAUAGUAGGCGGGGUAACGGCCCACCUAGUCAACGAUGGAUAGGGGUUCUGAGAGGAAGGUCCCCCACAUUGGAACUGAGACACGGUCCAA